GGGGUCGUAGCUCAGCUGGGAGAGCGCUUGAAUGGCAUUCAAGAGGUCAGGGGUUCGAUCCCCCUCGACUCCA
rnacentral:tRNA from 1 species